rnacentral:rRNA from 1 species
UACGUAGGGUGCGAGCGUUAAUCGGAAUUACUGGGCGUAAAGCGUGCGCAGGCGGUUUGGUAGGUCCGCUGUGAAAACUCGAGGCUCAACCUCGAGACGCCGGUGGAAACCAUCAGACUAGAGUCCGGAAGAGGAGAGUGGAAUUCCUGGUGUAGCGGUGAAAUGCGCAGAUAUCAGGAAGAACACCCAUGGCUAAGGCGGCUCUCUAGUACGGUACUGACGCUGGGACGCGAAAGCGUGGGGAGCGAACAGG